GUUGUCUCUGUUGACCAGGGGAAUUCCUGGCAGGGUGAUUUUUGAGACUACAGGACUGAAUCACAUUGCCAGGGAUUUCCAAUGGCUGACAUG
rnacentral:pre_miRNA from 1 species